GUUCAGUCGCCUCAGCCGCGGUGUGAGGGAGCGGGAGUCUUCCUUAGCUUCUCCGCCAUGGGUGUCGCUUCGUAGCCGGGCUGCUCCGGGAAAGGCCUCGUACAGCACGCAUUCACCAGAAUCCUGUCAGCUUUCCUCUUCUCAUCCAGACGCCUGGCCAGGAUCCUCGAUAAGACCGUGACCCCCAACUUGGACACCCCAUAAGGUUCCCAGAUGAUGUGACAGCUACUGGUCUCCAGCCACACCUUGAGAACACUUGGCUUUGACUACCACUUCUUAAACUUAAAGGAAAACUAGACAAUCCACCAGCCCAGGAGGGGACAAGCAGGCUUAUUCCUCCUCCUCGUCAUCUCUGGCUCCAGCCCCACCCUGGCCCUUGCUGGCAUUCUUCCUCUUCACGUGGCUGGGGUUGGCCACCCCAAUAGGGAAGCAGAGGGAGAAGUCAAUGUGCUUCUGGGAAUCCAGGCGGACAGUGAAGAACAGGAUAUUUACCACCUGCUCACGGACACGGAUAUGACACUGUUGAAUCAGCACAUGAGCGUGGCGGAUGGACUUAGCCAAGCCAAGCUUGAAGACCUGGGUCUGUAGGAAUCUCUAAGAAAUCAUUGAUCUUCAGGCCCAGGAUGUAAUCCAGCUUCAUCUUGCCCUCAUCCAGCACCCCAGUGCGGACCAGCCACUGCAGCAGGGCAAUGCCUUCGAACAGACGCCGUGGGUCCUUCUCAUCAAGCGUCAGCAGCUCCCGGGCGGCCUUAUGGAUCUUGACCAGGGUAAAUUUGACCCUCCAGACCUCACAUUUGUUCUGGAGCCCAUACUCACCAAUCAGCUUUAGCUUUUGGUCGAGAUGAGGUUUCUCGAAGGGUCUCUGCAGGGUCACAUAAGUUUGGCAACAAACCCAGCUCUGGGCCGCUGGCAUGUUGGCUCCACUUGCCCGUCUAUGCCUAAGCACAGGCCCUGGUCACUGAGAAAGAGCUCAAAUUUUUUAUAUAUUUCAUCUAAGGUGUUGAUUCUAUUGAUACCCUUAUCCUUUUAACAUGCCCUUAUCCUUUUAAUGUUGGUAAUGAUGCUACCUGUCAUUUCUGAGACUGGUUUGUGUCUUUCGUGUUUUUUUCUGAUCUGUCUGGCUAGAGGUUUACCAAUUGAUUUGAUUUUCCUCAAACUUCUGGUUACAAUGAUUCUCUCUCUCUCUCUUUUCCUGAUUAUAUUAAUUUCUGUUCUGAUCUUUGUUUCCUUUCUUCUGCUUACUGGAUUUUAUUUGCUCUUUUUCUGGUUUCUUACUGUAAAGGCAGAAGUCAUUGAUUUGCAUUGAUUUGAGACUUCUUUUCUAAUGUAGGCAGUAAGUGGUGUAAAUUCCCUUUUAGUAUGACUUUAGUGGCAUCUCACAUUGAUAUGUUUUCAAUUUCAUUCAGUUUAUUUUUAUUUAUUUUUUAAAUUAUUUAUUUAUUUAUUUAUUUUGAGUUGUGUAGCCCUUUAUUAGCAACUAAAAUAGAAGGUAUCUGUUGUACAACAUGGGUAGUAAUUGACUAUAACUGGAGAUUUAUUAUAUUCUAAUACAGAUCAUUUAUAAAUGCAAUUUCUUUAUUAAAAAGCUUCCACC
rnacentral:lncRNA from 10 species